CUACGGGUCGCUGCAGUGAGGAAUAUUGCACAAUGGGGGGAACCCUGAUGCAGCAACGCCGCGUGGAGGAUGACGCAUUUCGGUGUGUAAACUCCUUUUAUAUGUCAAGAAAAUGACGGUAGCAUAUGAAUAAGCACCGGCUAACUCCGUGCCAGCAGCCGCGGUAAUACGGAGGGUGCAAGCGUUACUCGGAAUCACUGGGCGGAAAGGACGCGUAGGCGGGUCGGAAAGUCAGGUGUGAAAUCCUACAGCUUAACUGUAGAACUGCACUUGAAACUUCUAAUCUAGAGUAUGGGAGGGGGAGAUGGAAUUAGUGGUGUAGGGGUAAAAUCCGUAGAUAUCACUAGGAAUACCUAAAGCGAAGGCGAUCUCCUGGAACAUUACUGACGCUAAGGCGUGAAAGCGUGGGGAGCAAACAGGAUUAGAUACCCCGGUAGUC
rnacentral:rRNA from 1 species